rnacentral:lncRNA from 1 species
CUGAUCCUGGGACUACAGCGUACCCGCACUAGAAGACCGCAUGUGUGAAAUCCUGAACCAGCGUCCAAAGCCUGUGGGAGAUGAGGUGGCUCGCAGAACCUUCCAGAAAUGCCAUGUAUUAGCUCCAGGAUGAUGUGGUGAGGGUCGACGUAUUCUAAAAUCACAACCUCUAAAGACUCUCUUCUAUGAGACAUUUCACCUUAUUGGACCUGAAUUCUCUGCCGUGAGAACAACUGUUGUAGGGGGAGAUGUUGGCGUGAGGCGAGAGUGAGAAGACUGGAGCCUGGGUAACCUCGGCUGCUGACUUCUUCAUAUCCAGAAACAAACAUAAAGAUAAACCAGGAAAAUUAUCACCAAGCCACUGCUCAUUGAGUCCUUAGCCGCCUCCAUUCUCCACUAUCUUGGUGCCACUAAACUGUCCAUCUGCACUAAACUGCCUACUUAGUGACCAUAUGGACUGUGCUUCGUUUGAUACUGAAUCUUCAGAGCCUGCAGUAAUGUCUGGCAGACGAUUGUCACUCCAUAAAUGCAUUUGGAAAAGCACACACGCAUGCUUACCUAAUUAAAAUCUUCAUGAGCAUGACGGUAA